GAUGAACGCUGGCGGCGUGCCUAAUACAUGCAAGUCGAGCGAACGGACGAGAAGCUUGCUUUUCUGAUGUUAGCGGCGGACGGGUGAUUAGCACGUGGAUAACCUACCUAUAAGACUGGGAUAACUUCGGGAAACCGGAGCUAAUACCGGAUAAUAUUUUGAACCGCAUGGUUCAAACGUGAAAGACGGUCUUGCUGUCACUUAUAGAUGGAUCCGCGCUGCAUUAGCUAGUUGGUAAGGUAACGGCUUACCAAGGCAACGAUGCAUAGCCGACCUGAGAGGGUGAUCGGACACACUGGAACUGAGACACGGUACAGACUCCUACGGGAGGCAGCAGUAGGGAAUCUUACGCAAUGGGCGAAAGCCUGACGGAGCAACGCCGCGUGAGUGAUGAAGGUCUUCGGAUCGUAAAACUCUGUUAUUAGGGAAGAACAUAUGUGUAAGUAACUGUGCACAUCUUGACGGUACCUAAUCAGAAAGCCACGGCUAACUACGUG
rnacentral:rRNA from 1 species